ACUGCCUCUAGAAGCAUAUCAGGUGUGGCUGAUGUGUCACAAGUGCAUCAGCAGAUGGCAGAGAGAGGCUGUGUCUACACCCAGUGUUCUGACCUAUGGACAUCUGAAUAAUUACUAGCCUAACAUU
ensembl:snoRNA